rnacentral:rRNA from 1 species
GACGAACGCUGGCGGCGCGCCUAACACAUGCAAGUCGAGCGGAGAUACUUGAAGGAAGUUUUCGGAUGGAAUUUGAGUAUUUUAGCGGCGGACGGGUGAGUAACGCGUGAGUGACCUGCCUUCCACAGGGGGAUAACGUACCGAAAGGUACACUAAUACCGCAUGAGACCACAGCACUGCCUGGUGCAGGGGUCAAAGGAGCAAUCCGGUGGAAGAUGGACUCGCGUCCGAUUAGAUAGUUGGUGGGGUAACGGCCUACAAAGUCAGCGAUCGGUAGCCGACCUGAGAGGGUGAUCGGCCACAUUGGAACUGAGAGACGGUCCAAACUCCUACGGGAGGCAGCAGUGGGGAAUAUUGGGCAAUGGGGGAAACCCUGACCCAGCGACGCCGCGUGAGGGAAGAAGGUUUUCGGAUUGUAAACCUCUGUUCUUGGUGAAGAGGGAAAGACGGUAGCCAAGGAGGAAGCCCCGGCUAACUACGUGCCAGCAGCCGCAGUAA